GAUGAACGCUGGCGGUGUGCCUAAUACAUACAAGUCGAGCGAACAGACGAGGAGCUUACUCCUCUGACGUUAGCGGCGGACGGGUGAGUAACACGUGGAUAACCUACCUAUAAGACUGGGAUAACUUCGGGAAACCGGAGCUAAUACCGGAUAACAUGUUGAACCGCAUGGUUCAACAGUGAAAGACGGUCUUGCUGUCACUUAUAGAUGGAUCCGCGUCGCAUUAGCUAGUUGGUAAGGUAACGGCUUACCAAGGCAACGAUGCGUAGCCGACCUGAGAGGGUGAUCGGCCACACUGGAACUGAGACACGGUCCAGACUCCUACGGGAGGCAGCAGUAGGGAAUCUUCCGCAAUGGGCGAAAGCCUGACGGAGCAACGCCGCGUGAGUGAAGAAGGUCUUCGGAUCGUAAAACUCUGUUAUUAGGGAAGAACAAAUGUGUAAGUAACUAUGCACGUCUUGACGGUACCUAAUCAGAAAGCCACGGCUAACUACGUG
rnacentral:rRNA from 1 species